rnacentral:lncRNA from 1 species
AAAGAUGAAAGAUAUCAUCUUUUCCCAACACACCAACCGCACUCACCUUCCCCCCAAAUCCAUCCAACUUUUCUUUUAUUUCCUUCCAUGUCCUUUCUCCAUUGUUGAACCAUCCAAGCUCCAAACCUUCAUUUUCUUUGAAAUUUUUUUAGUAAAAGCUAAAAAGAAGACUAGUGAGCAACUUUAUUUCAUGGGGAAACUUACAUAGAUGGGUUAAAAGAGAGAAAUAUAUGAGUUAAGGUUUUGGGUUUUCAAAAAUUUAAGGUAAGGAUAAUGGAAAUUCUCAUAACAUACAUGUUUAUUUUCAUAAUCUAGCAUAGAAAAGUUAUUUGAUUUUUAGUUUUAACUUAUAAAUGUUAUAUGUUGUUAUGAAAUUGAAGAAAAAGAGAUGAAGUUUAAGGACAAAAGUGAAGGGAAAGAAAAAGAAGUGGCCAAGGAGUAGAAGAGAAGAAAAACUCAUCAUCCAAAUUUUAGUUGUAAGUACUUCAAGUAGUAAUUUUGUUUAAGUUAUGUUAAUUAAGUAUGUUAAUUAAUUAGUUUAAUUACUAAAUUAAUGAUAUCAUAAUAAGUAUUUAGUAGGGGUAAAUAAUGCAAAUGUUAUGAAUUUUGACUUUAGUGUACCAUUAUAUGAUGUAUUGUGGUGAUAAUGAAAAAGGACUAAAUUGAAAGAAAUUAAAAUAUGUUAUGAUAUUAUGAAUAUAUGGAAAAGUGAGUUUAAAUGAAGUGAUGUAAAAAUUAUAGUGUUGUAUGUGGUAAAAAUGAAGAGAAUUUACAAGUUUUAGUGUUAUUAUUGUGAUAAAGACUAAAUUGUGAAAAAUACAGUUAUAUUAUUUUCUGUCAAGUGAAUGAAUAAAAAGAUUCAAUAAAAAAAAUCCCAUGUAGACGAGUCCCGAACAAUUGAGAUAUUGAUGGCAUGCCAUUAAGGAAAAUUAACGCGCUUAUUGUAAUUAUUUCACACUUCGGUGCUUGUCAUUGUAAAAUAUGCACUUUGGUGCUUAUUGUAAUUAUUUUGCACUUCGGUGCUUAUCGUUAUUUGCAUUUUAUGCUUAAUGAUAUAUGAUAUGAAUUAACAAUGCAUUAUCGAUUUAUUUCUGUAUAUCCGAAGUGUUCAACUAGUCUACGUUGGGCUAUAAUGUCGUACUUUGGCUAUUAUUAAUUAAUGGGUUACGGUAAGUAAUGGUAAGUGUGAUUUUUAAGAAAAAUAUAUUAAACUUUAGGGACUAAUUUGAUGAGAAUUAUAUGUCCAUAAAAUGGAUAAAAUUUUAUUUUAUAUUAUUAAUAACAGUAGAUUUUAAAAAUCUUGAAGUACUUACUAAGUCUUCACAGACUUACUUCGACUAUUAUCAAUUAAUGGGUUACGUUAAUUCUCUAAUGCGUAGGUGAAGUAGAUCCGUUUAGGCUAACAUCGAGGUCGUGUGCAUCCCAUCUCAUCACCAUUCCAAGAGGCAAGAUUGUAUGUAUAAAUUUUAGGGUUAGUAUGGCAUGUACAUAGGUUCUUGGUAUAGGUUAAUGUUAAAUGGACUAAAAUGCAAACUUUGUAAACCUUUUUAUUUUGGUGAUCUACUGGUAUAUUUUGUUAGCUUUUGAAAGUAAUUUAUAAUAGCUUAACAUAUGCAUGAAUAUAUGAU